rnacentral:rRNA from 1 species
AUUGAACGCUGGCGGCAGGCCUAACACAUGCAAGUCGAGCGGAUGAAGGGAGCUUGCUCCUGGAUUCAGCGGCGGACGGGUGAGUAAUUCCUAGGAAUCUGCCUGGUAGUGGGGGAUAACGUCCGGAAACGGGCGCUAAUACCGCAUACGUCCUGAGGGAGAAAGUGGGGGAUCUUCGGACCUCACGCUAUCAGAUGAGCCUAGGUCGGAUUAGCUAGUUGGUGGGGUAAAGGCCUACCAAGGCGACGAUCCGUAACUGGUCUGAGAGGAUGAUCAGUCACACUGGAACUGAGACACGGUCCAGACUCCUACGAGAGGCAGCAGUGGGGAAUAUUGGACAAUGGGCGAAAGCCUGAUCCAGCCAUGCCGCGUGUGUGAAGAAGGUCUUCGGAUUGUAAAGCACUUUAAGUUGGGAGGAAGGGCAGUAAGUUAAUACCUUGCUGUUUUGACGUUACCAACAGAAUAAGCACCGGCUAACUUCGUG